ensembl:lincRNA
UGCUGCCUCCCCUCCUGACCACCUGCCCUCCUUCGGCAGCUGCCUCCCUGGCUUUCCUCGGGUCCCUCCGCAGUGUGAGGCCCUCGAUGGGUCCCUCUGGGUCGCCUCCCUGAGGUCUAGGGUCCCAAACUGGAAGAGGCCUUGGGGAGCCAGGAGACAGCUCUGUCCUUCACACCCCAGGAAACGGGGGCCCACAGGCUGAGGGAGUCAUGCGGCCUGCGGAAGGAGACAAAGGCCUGUCUCUGAUUCCUGUCUAUGCUGGUUUCUGGGGUGGGCAGUGCCUCCUCCAUGCCCAGCCGUGCCCAGGAGGAUGGAGGCGCAAGCUGGUCUCUUUGCUAACUCACCUUCCUGCCACGCCCAGCAGCCGGUGCCCGGGGCGCUGUGCAGCGGGAGGGACCCACCGGAGGGGACCCAUGGAGGGUCUCUAAUUUGCUGCUGCUGCCCCUUGAUGUCCAGGGAAAACAGGCCUCCUGUGCCCGAGAAAUUUCCAAGCAUAAACAGAGGACUAUGGGAUCAAUCCUCCUCCCCCACAACACCUUCAGUGCCAGGAACAAGUUUCUCCCUGAGCCGAGGGGGCUGGCGGUGAGAGCGCGCUGCAGGGCCAGGGGCCUGCUGGUGCAAACAGGAAGUGGCCUUAGGCUGGAAGCAAACUCCAAAGGGUGUAAACAAGCAAGCACCCCACCUCACCUGCCCCGGGAGCCGAGUAGGGUGGGAGUCGACCCGAGAUGGAGGCCCCAUGGCACCCCACCUCCACCCGCUUCUCCACCGAGCCCCUAAGCACUGGAGAGGCAUGCGAUUUCUCAAGCGCCUUCCGCCAAAGUGGCGAUGCUGUUUCUUGCCCAGCACCAAGUCCUGCAGACUUAGCCCUCAGGCUUCCUCGGGUCAUCUGGUCCCCUCAACCCCCUGGGAAAGGGGCAGCUGGAGGAGGGGGCUGGGCCGCCCAGCUCUAAAGUGGGUGAAGCUCAGGGGUUGAGUGCUUGCCUGGCACACACAAAGCCCUGCAUUGAUCCCUAGCACUGCGAAUCUAAUAAUGAUAAGACACAGCUUCUCAGAGGCCCGGGUGAGCCGGAAAAGAUGGACCCGGGAAUCUGCUAAGCCCCCUCCCACCCACGCACACGCUCAGUUCAAAACCCAAGUUCCGCGCAGGCGUCUGCCUCUCCGCUUGGAUUCUGCAGGGAGAGCUGGGGCCUAGAGAGGCCGAGGGGAAGGAGGGCGCACGGAGAGCAAAGCAAGGUGCUGCCCCGCCCCCCUGUCCUCUGCAGUCCUUUCAGCAUCUUGGGUUCUUCCACUCCCACCUCUUGAAGAUUGCUGGGAGACCAGAUGGAAGACUGGUCUAAUGUCUACAUUUUCUGAAGGCCUUGCUCAGCUUUGGAGUCCUGCUGGGCUGAUCUCCUCCUUCUCCAUCCGUAAUGAUGUCAUCGGUGUCUGCUGAGUCCGGCUGAUACCUCCUUCAGGGAGGACCUGCAGACUGCCCAGCCCUGGGGGUGAGGCUUACUCCAGCUCCUUCACCUGAACAGCAGCCCAGGAAGAGGGGACCCUGCCUUACUCUCCCCCAACUCAGCCCUGGGGCCUAUGACUCCACCUCAGUUAUCCCAUCUCUGAAAUGGGAUAAUAACUCUAGCAACCACGCAGUGGGUGUUCGGAGGUUUGUCUGUUAAUUAGAGAGGGUGCUGGGUGGUCGGCGUCUUGGGAGGGCAGGCCAGCCUGGCUUGGGUGACCACACCCCAAGCCUGUGGUCUCAGCUCCACUGAGAUAAACCACCAAGCCACCCACCUCUAGCUCUACUGCUCCCCUUCCCCGAGCCAGGACACUCUCCAAUAGCCCAAGCAUUGCCUCGGAAGAAAAGCUGAGGACCUACAAAGACUAAGGCAUCAGGCUAACCUUAAGGGAGGACUAAAGAUCAAAUAAAUCAGCCAGCAGAUCUCAG